GGGGAAUAUUGCACAAUGGGGGAAACCCUGAUGCAGCAACGCCGCGUGAAGGAUGAAGGUUUUCGGAUUGUAAACUUCUUUAGUCAGGGACGAAAAAAAUGACGGUGCCUGAAGAAUAAGCCACGGCGAACUACGUGCCAGCAGCCGCGGUAAUACGUAGGUGGCAAGCGUUGUCCGGAAUUACUGGGUGUAAAGGGCGUGUAGGCGGGAAUGUAAGUCAGAUGUGAAAUCCCAGGGCUUAACCCUGGAGCUGCAUCUGAAACUAUGUUUCUUGAGUGCCGGAGACGAAAGCGGAAUUCCUAGGGUAGCGGUGACAUGCGUAGAUAUUAGGAGGAACACCAGUGGCGAAGGCGGCUUUCUGGACGGUAACUGACGCUGAGGCGCGAAAGCGUGGGGAGCAAAC
rnacentral:rRNA from 1 species